rnacentral:lncRNA from 1 species
UUCUAUCAAUAUUUUAAGGUUCACAAAGAUUAAAUGUUUUCGUACAAUACAACAAAAACGGUCUAUAGCGAUAUUUUUAAAUAUUGGUACAGGUAAAAAAAAAUGAUGCUGGCUAAAUUACCGACACUUUUAAAAAGUGUUGCUAUAUGUGGAGUCACUAGGUAUAUAAUGACAGUUAAAGAGUGUCGCUAUAAUCUAAAAAGAGUGCUGCUAAUUUACCAACACUUAUUUAUGUAUUUAGCAACCGCUGAAACUCUAACUCGUUGGCUGCGGUGGCAGAGGAAGAGGACAGGGAAGGGCUCUUCGUCUAGAAUUUAAGUAGAUUGAGUGAGGGGAGCAGUGGAGAUGAUAAUCGAUUUUUCUUUUUUUUUUUUUCUUUUCUGUUUGUAAUCGGGCCGAAUGCGCUGGGUGGGGUGGGUUAAGCUAGAGUAGCCUUUUAUUUUUGAUUGGAUUGAACUUUAUAUUUAGGCAUUAGUAGAUUUUUUUUAAAGUUUUGAUAUAAAUGGGACACUUACAUAAAAAUGUUCCAAACAUGUGUCCCUAUAAUUCAAUUCUGUUGUAGUGGUAAAGGAUUAAAUUCAUAAGCAUU